rnacentral:rRNA from 1 species
CUCGGUGACGAUGGCGAUGGGGUCACACCUCUUUCCAUUCCGAACAGAGAAGUUAAGCCCAUCAGCGCCGAAGAUACUCGUUCUUUAAGUUCGGGGAAAAUAGGUCGUUGCCGGGA